rnacentral:rRNA from 1 species
GACGAACGCUGGCGGCGUGCUUAACACAUGCAAGUCGAACGGAAAGGCCCUGCUUUUGUGGGGUGCUCGAGUGGCGAACGGGUGAGUAACACGUGAGUAACCUGCCCUUGACUUUGGGAUAACUUCAGGAAACUGGGGCUAAUACCGGAUAGGAGCUCCUGCUGCAUGGGGGGGGUUGGAAAGUUUCGGCGGUUGGGGAUGGACUCGCGGCUUAUCAGCUUGUUGGGGGGGUAGUGGCUUACCAAGGCUUUGACGGGUAGCCGGCCUGGGAGGGUGACCGGCCACAUUGGGACUGAGAUACGGCCCAAACUCCUACGGGAGGCAGCAGUGGGGAAUAUUGCACAAUGGGCGGAAGCCUGAUGCAGCAACGCCGCGUGCGGGAUGACGGCCUUCGGGUUGUAAACCGCUUUCGCCUGUGACGAAGCGUGAGUGACGGUAAUGGGUAAAGAAGCACCGGCUAACUACGUG